CUAUGACCUGCCCACAGACACUUCAGCCAGUUAGUGUGUAAACAUCAUAUCAUGCUAUGUUUUCGGUUUGUGUUGUUUUCACUACCGAAUGAUGAAGAUAUGAAGAAUCAGUGGUUAAAAUUACUUUUUCAAGGAGAAAAGCUACCCAUAUGGUUCAGUACCCACUUUAUUUGGAACAACAUGCAUCUCCUAACUACAACCUGUCGCCAGAAUGACAGACAUGACGUCUUGGACGGUUGAAAUUCACACAAUCUUUUCAAGUUAAUGACUCUGAGCCCCGAGGCCUCAGACCGGAGCCUGCAGACCUUUGGAUUGAUUUCCUCCUGUCUCCUUUAGGUUAGCCCUCAGGAACCCCAUCCAAUCACAUCAAAUCACAGACGCCAAGUGGUGCGGUCCCGUCCAAUCACGCUGAUUGCUUUGGAAAGUUCUGGCCAUCCCUUAAGCUAACAGUGCAAUUACUGGAAGUGUCUCAUGAAAGAAGUGCGUGAGUGGAUGGGUGUGCGAAGGUGAUUAAUUGAGAUGGGAGCUGUAUAAGGGAGAAGAAAAGCAGGAGGAGAUCGAGGAAGCACCAGACAAAGGUUCGAAGGGGGUGACGGUCUGCCGGUUUAUGAGAGAAGAGUUCAUUGAGGGAUCAGGUGGAUACAUGGAAGGAGGGGGUAGCAGUCCACUCCAAGGCUUGUAUGAGAAAGUCUUGAGAUGUUUUGGAGAGCAAACUGACUAAUCACUUCCUAAAACAGAUGCUUUAUGAACUUUGUGAAGUGGAAAAAAACUUUAAAGGUGCAGUGCGUAAUUUUUAAGAAGGAUCUCUUGACAGAAAUGCAAUAUAAUAUACAUAACUAUAUUAUCAGUGGUGUAUAAAAACAUUACAUAAUGAACUGUAUUGUUUUAUUACCUUAGAAUGAGUUGAUUUUGUCUAUAUACACACCAUGGGUCUACAUGCACCACGAGUCGUUGUCAUGUUUCUACAGUACCCCUAAACGGACAAACAGCAGACGACUCCGGGCCGGAUCCGCACCGGAGCUGCCAACUUCAGUGAUGACACGUUUGUCCUGUGGCAGCUACCGUAGCUUCACUGUGCAUUUCGAAAUUGAGAGGUUUUGUGAUAUUCACCCUUGCGUGACAGCAAAAAAGUCCAUACAUUGAUCCAGGACAGAUCUUCGCCUUCAUCCCAGGUCAGGUGGUCAUCUUUAAUACUGCACAAACCUUCUCCAAAGACAAACUUUGAAUGUAC